rnacentral:lncRNA from 1 species
AUGAAGAGUUUCAAGACCUCCCAUUGUCAACGAGUGUAUAAAGGAGGUAUUCUCUCUCCGGUGUGGUUGGGACAUGGACAUUUGAUACAGUGUUUCCUGGGAGAAUUUGGUGAUAGCUAUAAACUGUGGAAAAUUCUGAAAGAGAUGGGAAUACCAGACCACCUGACCUGCCUCUUGAGAAACCUAUGUACAGGUCAGGAAGCAACAGUUAGAACUAGACAUGGAACAAAAGACUGGUUCCAAAUAGGAAAAGGAGUACGUCAAGGCUGUAUAUUGUCACCCUGCUUAUUUAACUUAUAUGCAGAGUAUAUCAUGAGAAACGCUGGGCUGGAGGAAGGACAAGCUGGAAUCCAGAUUGCCGGGAGAAAUAUCAGUAACCUCAAAUAUGCAGAUGACAGCACCCUUAUGGCAGAAAGUGAAGAGGAACUAAAAAGCCUCUUGAUGGAAGUGAAAGAGGAGAGUGAAAAAGUUGGCUUAAAGCUCAACAUUCAGAAAAUGAAGAUCAUGGAAUCUGGUCCCAUUAUUUCAUGGGAAAUAGAUGGGGAAACAGUGGAAACAGUGUCAGACUUUAUUUGGGGGGGCUCCAAAAUCACUGCAGAUGGUGAUUGCAGCCACGAAAUUAAAAGACACUUACUCCUUGGAAGAAAAGUUAUGACCAACCUAGAUAGCAUAUUCAAAAGCAGAGACAUUACUCUGCGGACUAAGGUCCGUCUAGUCAAGGCUAUGGUUUUUCCAGUGGUCGUGUAUGGAUGUGAUAGCUGGACUGUGAAGAAGGCUGAGAGCCGAAGAAUUGAUGCUUUUGAACUGUGGUGUUGGAGAAGACUCUUGAGAGUCCCUUGGACUGCAAGGAAAUCCAGCCAGUCCAUUCUGAAGGAGAUCAGCCCUGGGAUUUCUUUGGAAGGAAUGAUGCUAAAGCUGAAGCUCCAGUACUUUGGCCAGCUCAUGCAAAGAGUUGACUCACUGGAAAAGACCCUGAUGCUGGGAGGGACUGGGGGGCAGGAGGAGAAGGGGACGACAGAGGAUGAGAUGGCUGGAUGGCAUCACCUUCUCGAUGGACGUGAGUCUGAGUGA